UACGUAGGGACCAAGCGUUGUUCGGAUUUACUGGGCGUAAAGGGCGCGUAGGCGGCUUGACAAGUCACUUGUGAAAUCUCCGGGCUUAACUCGGAACGGCCAAGUGAAACUGUCAUGCUAGAGUGCAGAAGGGGCAAUCGGAAUUCUUGGUGUAGCGGUGAAAUGCGUAGAUAUCAAGAGGAACACCUGAGGUGAAGACGGGUUGCUGGGCUGACACUGACGCUGAGGCGCGAAAGCCAGGGGAGCAAACGGG
rnacentral:rRNA from 2 species